GAUAGAACACACUUCAAGCAUUAGAUUUAAGAAAAUUUAUAUCUUCUCUCAUCUUUUGAUUUUCGGUCUUGAAUUCGAGUUUGAGAAAGUUGGAAGUUAGAAUCUUGACGUCGAAGUUCUAGUUUGCUGCUCUACACAAGGUCAGUAAUCUCGUUCAUUUGGUUCGUUUUCAAGGAUUGGUUAUUAUAGUAUGGAACAUUUUUGUGUUGUUAUUCUCUGAUUUAAAUAUGCACUGAAAUAUGUCUUGCUGUAUUUUAGUUAGAAAUCAGCUUGCAACAGGUUAAAUGAGUUUCUUAGAUUAAGAGAAUUGACU
rnacentral:lncRNA from 1 species